UGGGGAAUUUUGGACAAUGGGCGAAAGCCUGAUCCAGCAAUGCCGCGUGCAGGAUGAAGGCCUUCGGGUUGUAAACUGCUUUUGUACGGAACGAAAAAGCUUCCCCUAAUACGAGAGGCCCAUGACGGUACCGUAAGAAUAAGCACCGGCUAACUACGUGCCAGCAGCCGCGGUAAUACGUAGGGUGCGAGCGUUAAUCGGAAUUACUGGGCGUAAAGCGUGCGCAGGCGGUUAUGUAAGACAGAUGUGAAAUCCCCGGGCUCAACCUGGGAACUGCAUUUGGGACUGCAUGGCUAGAGUACGGUAGAGGGGGAUGGAAUUCCGCGUGUAGCAGUGAAAUGCGUAGAUAUGCGGAGGAACACCGAUGGCGAAGGCAAUCCCCUGGACCUGUACUGACGCUCAUGCACUAAAGCGUGGGGAGCAAACA
rnacentral:rRNA from 1 species